GCCAGCCUGGUAUUGGGCCAGGCCAGGAACCUGGGUUCACAGAAAUCCACAGAAGAGCCCAGUGCCUUGGAAGCUAGCCAACUCUGGGUUAGGCUGUGAUCCUGUCUUCACAGGAGCUCACUAGGAGCUCCUGUGCUAGAGUUUGCUGGUCUGCCUGUGCUAGAGCUUGCUGGUGCUGAGGUCUGCAGUGAAGUAGAAAACUUCACAUGGGUGUCAGUUGGAGGAGUUCAUUCAGAAUUUUACAUAACACCAGAGUUUCUGCUUCAGGAACUGCAACCAAAGCUUUCCAUUUCUGAGUCAGCCUUCAGACUCAAGCUGGAACAUCACCUCUGCUGGAUCUCUAGUCUGCCAGCCUACCCUACAGAUGUGGACUUGUCAGUUUCCAUAAUCAUAUAUUACCACAGCCACCUCAACUUUCAGCAACUACCACCCUGAUCAGCCAGCAGCCAACAACAUCAAAGCAAGACCCUCUACCAGCAAAAUGACUAUGA